CGUGAGCGCGCGCGAGCGCAGCAGUGGGAGGCGGCGACCAGCCGGUAGAGAGAGGCCUCACCACGAUGUGGCACGAGGCUCGGAAGCAUGAGCGGAAACUCCGAGGCAUGAUGGUGGAUUACAAGAAGAGGGCGGAGCGGCGCCGGGAGUACUAUGAGAAGAUUAAGAAAGAUCCCGCCCAGUUCCUGCAGGUGCAUGGCCGCGCCUGCAAGGUUCACCUGGAUUCUGCCGUUGCCCUGGCUGCUGAGAGCCCUGUGAACAUGAUGCCUUGGCAAGGGGACACCAACAACAUGAUUGACCGCUUCGAUGUUCGCGCACAUCUAGACCACAUCCCCGACUACACCCCCCCACUGCUCACCACCAUCUCCCCGGAGCAGGAGUCGGACGAACGGAAAUGUAACUACGAGCGGUACCGAGGCCUGGUGCAGAACGACUUCGCCGGCAUCUCUGAGGAACAGUGCUUGUACCAGAUCUACAUUGAUGAACUGUAUGGAGGCCUCCAGAGACCCAGCGAGGAUGAGAAGAAGAAGCUGGCCGAGAAGAAGGCUUCCAUUGGCUACACCUAUGAAGAUAGUACUGUGGCCGAGGUAGAGAAGGUGGCCGAGAAAACAGAGGAGGAGGAGUCACCAGCUGAGGAGGAGAGCAAUUCGGAUGAAGAUGAGGUCAUCCCCGACAUCGACGUGGAGGUGGAUGUGGAUGAGCUGAACCAGGAGCAGGUGGCUGAUCUCAAUAAGCAGGCCACAACCUAUGGCAUGGCUGAUGGAGACUUUGUCAGGAUGCUACGGAAAGACAAGGAGGAGGCAGAGGCCAUCAAACAUGCCAAGGCCCUGGAGGAGGAAAAAGCCAUGUACUCGGGUCGUCGUUCCCGGCGACAGCGAAGAGAGUUCAGAGAGAAGCGACUGAGGGGCCGCAAGAUCAGCCCUCCCAGUUAUGCCCGCCGAGACAGCCCCACCUAUGACCCCUAUAAACGGUCACCUUCGGAAUCCAGCUCUGAGUCCCGCUCCCGCUCUCGCUCCCCGAGCCCAGGCCGCGAGGAAAAGAUCACUUUCAUCACCAGUUUUGGGGGCAGCGAUGAGGAGGCAGCUGCUGCAGCCGCCGCGGCUGCCGCAUCGGGGGCCACCCCCGGGAAGCCCCUUGCACCCCCCCAGCCCGGCGGCCCCACUCCAGGCCGCAAUGCCAGUGCCCGCCGCCGCUCCUCCUCGUCCUCCGCCUCCAGGACCUCCAGCUCUCGCUCCAGUUCGCGCUCCAGCUCGCGCUCACGCCGUGGCUACUACCGGUCUGGCCGCCAUGCGCGCUCCCGCUCGCGUUCCUGGUCCCGCUCGCGCUCCCGCUCCCGGCGCUAUUCACGCUCCCGCAGUCGCGGACGGCGGCACUCCGAAGGCGGUUCCCGAGACGGACGCCGCUACUCGCGUUCCCCAGCCCGGCGUGGCGGGUACGCGCCUCGCCGCAGAAGCAGGAGCCGCUCCCGUUCAGGUGACCGCUAUAAGCGCGGUGCCCGAGGUCCCAGGCACCAGAGUAGCAGUCGUAGCCGCAGCAGCUGGUCCCUCAGCCCUUCCCGAAGCCGCAGCCUGACCCGCAGUGGAAGCCGCAGCCAGAGCCGGAGCAGAAGCCGCAGCCAGAGCCAGAGUCACUCUCCAUCGCCCCCAAGGGAGAAGCUGACCAGGCCAGCAGCAUCCCCUGCUGUGGGCGAGAAGCUGAAAAAGACCGAACCUGCCGCUGGUAAAGAGACAGGAGCUGCCAAAGUCACCCAAGCUGACCCCACAGGAGAGGCUGAAGCUGCGGAUGCAGAAGGCUCUGAAUCGCCAGUUCAAGGCGGAUAAGAAGGCUGCUCAGGAGAAGAUGAUACAGCAGGAGCAUGAGCGCCAGGAGCGUGAGGAUGAGCUGCGCGCCAUGGCCCGAAAGAUCAGAAUGAAGGAGCGAGAGCGACGAGAGAAGGAGAGGGAAGAGUGGGAACGCCAGUACAGCCGCCAGAGUCGCUCACCCUCUCCACGCUACAGUCGAGAGUACAGUUCUUCUCGAAGGCGCUCGAGGUCCAGGUCCCGAAGCCCCCAUUACAGGCAUUAGGCGGAGGACUGAGUGGGGGCUGCGAUGCCCUGGGUUUCUGUAGUGAAAUAAAAGCUAACAUUAUUUAA